rnacentral:misc_RNA from 1 species
AAGUCGUAACAAGGUUUCCGUAGGUGAACCUGCGGAAGGAUCAUUAAAGAAUGAAGUUUUUUGGGGUUUUAAAUUCCAAAAAAUAAUUCACCUUUUGUGCAUUGUUAUUAAGAUAUACUUUGGUUAGAGCUUUGAUUUCAUUUAUUGGAAUCAACUUCUUGCUAACUCUAUCCUUUCUGAGGACAGUUGGCUAUGAAGCGGCCUACCAAGGUUUUUUAUCAAACUCUUGUAUUUUUGUCUGACCUAAAAACAAAUAAUUAAAUCAUAACUUUCAACAACGGAUCUCUUGGCUCUC